GAGAUCUUGGAGAAUUUACCAGAGCAGAAAAAUUGGGAUGAUUGUGGGUUCUUUGCCUUCAACUACAUGUUCAACUGGAACGGUCACCAGCUCAUCAACCCGAUAAGUGAGGACACAGUUGAGUUAAGAAAGAAGUUCAUGAUGCAGCUGCUGACCUUCACGGGAAAUGAGGCCACUUUACCG